rnacentral:lncRNA from 1 species
ACCCAGCUCCACGCAAAAGAAAGUGAGAAGACAGAAAGAGACCAGAGGAGAGAGAGAGAGAGAGUGAAAAAGAGAGAGCGUGUGUGUGUGAGAGAGAGAGAAGGCAUGGAGGAAAUAUAUAUGGAGCAUGUAGGUGUUGCCGGAGGGAAGAGUUGAGCCAUACGUCUAGAAAAUAUUAGCAUAUACGAUGGGGUAUUAUCUGGUGGCCGAUUACUAUUCUAGAAGAGAAAUCUUGUUAUCGAGGCAAGUAGCUGCUUUGCUAAACUCCUUGAUCUCGCCUUAUUGUUGUCUUCUUUUCUUAUCUGAUUAUAUUGUUGCACCUUGAUCUUUAUUGAUCCUCCAUUGAUCCUUGAGAGCGGGAUGUGUUGUCCUCGAAAUCCAUUUGUUGAUGGAGUCAUUCUGUUUUCAGAGGAACUCAUGUAAAGCCAUGAGCUUAUUGAUAUUCCAGUGAUCCUAUCGUUGAUCAAGCCACAUAUCAUAUUUUGGUCCAUUUAUAUUGGUUUCACGACGACAAACGAAUUGUACCGGCCAUAGUUUAGGUAUGGGACUAUCUGGGCUCUCCACUAAGGACGGACCUUGUUUGGAAACGUGUCGGUGAUGGAUCCGUAGGAGCGACCGACAUCAGUAGGUCCAGGUGUUCGGGUCUUAGUGGGUACAAGAACUCUGCUCUUCUGGAACCUAUGUGGUUCUAGUCGAGGCUGUCGACGUCGGAGUACCCCUCUUAAGAGCGUAAAAGUGUGAAAUUUCACACCUGUGACUCCCGGGUUGGAAAACCUUGCGAUCAUAUGUGAUGCCAAUAAAUUCCUGGUUGUUUCCAUUAAAUCCAGUUAUAUGUUCUUUUGUCCAUUUACACCAAAAUAUGUUCCAAUGAUUUUUACCUUGUUCAGUUCAUUUGCUGAUCUCCACCAUCAUACCAUUGUUUUUGUUGAGUAGUGAAGUGUCUGCUUGCUGAGUAUGAUUUAUCGUACUCACCCUUGUCUCCUCUGUUUUUUAGAUGCAGUCGAUGUAACUUAAGUAUGCCCAGAAGAUGUCAUCCAAGAACAGGCUGGACCAGUGGCUGGGAAGCGACUAGAGAAUUUGAUGUAUUUUGGCCAUUUGUAAAUGUAAAGGAAUUUGUGUAGUCAAUAUAUAAGAGCUUUUGUGAUC